UCAGCUUCUCAGACUUUUGGCUAAGAUCAAGUGUAGUAUUUGUUCUUAUCAGUUAACCCUUCAUUUUUGCCAAGGGUGUCAUAACCUUUUUUUUAAAGAUUUAUUUAUUUAUUAUGUAUACAGUGUUCUGUCUGCAUGAAUGCCUGUAUCCAGAUCUCAUUAUAGAUGGUUGUGAGCCAUCAUG